rnacentral:rRNA from 1 species
UACGAAGGGUGCAAGCGUUACUCGGAAUUACUGGGCGUAAAGCGUGCGUAGGUGGUUUGUUAAGUCUGUUGUGAAAGCCCCGGGCUCAACCUGGGAAUGGCAAUGGAUACUGGCAAGCUAGAGUGCGGUAGAGGGUAGUGGAAUUCCCGGUGUAGCGGUGAAAUGCGUAGAUAUCUGGAGGAACACCGGUGGCGAAGGCGGCAUCCUGGACCGGCAUUGACGCUGAGGCGCGAAAGGCCAGGGGAGCAAACGGG